AAAAACAAUUAUUCAUUCAGAAACGCACGUUCAGAGAUGCACAGAGAUUCAUUCUGCUGUGGUUUUGCUAGAAUCUAAUUUAGUUUAUGGAGCAAAACAGACUCUAUGAUAUGGCACAACACCGGAAAUGACAGCCCAUGAAGCGAAGACCGAGUAACAACCAUGCAAUGCUAAUGGAUGGCUUUCUCCAGCAUACUCACUGAAAAGGAUGAGAUCCAUCACUGAGGCGGACAAGCGUCAUGGUUUUGUAGAGCAAGCAUACAGGGAGAGUGAAGGCCAUAAUGCCUAAACCGAGGUUGGACAGGAUCGUGAUGGCACUGAGCUGGAACAAACAAGCCAAACCCACAACCAAACCUGUAAACACCAGCCCGGUGGUCCCCACAUCUCGCCAGUAUAACAGAUCCAACACUAAAGAGGGCAAUGUGAAGCAGGCUGAAAACACUCAAACAGCACAAUCAGAGGAUGAGCUAGGCUCAGUGGAAUAUGAAAACAACACUGCAAAAAGGACAAAAUGUGGAAUUCAAAAAAUGUUUAAUCCACAGAAGUUGCCUUAAAGUGGUCAAGGACUUGAAAUUUAGUUUUAAUAAAAGUAAUAAGGCUGCCAGAUGUUUUUAUUUAGCAUUGAUUAUAAUUACAAGCAAUGAUACAUGUGACUAUAAAGGCCGACUCUGCCAGAAACACUUGAUGAAACCACAUUGUCCAACAAAGCUGGACAUUAUACAGCACAGUCCAAACAUGUCAAGUCUGUAAACACAUUCAUUUUUUUCUACCAAAAGUGAAUCCAAAGAAUUUGCACAUUAUUUUGUAAAACUGCUGUAAUUUAGUGCAAAUGUUACAUCUCUGAGACAAACAUAUGACAUAAAUGGACAAGAAGCUUUAAUGUCAGAGAGUGCAUGGACACAAACACAGUGGAACAGCUAAUGGCAGUGUGCAUUCACACACCCCUUCCCCUGUGAAGCCAAUAGACCCCAACAGCUGUUGGUUCUGAUUAUCCUCCAAACGCAGGUGCAAAUCUGUGCUGUGGCACACACUGGGUGCAAAGCUGAAUGAGCCUUUAUCAGAACCAUCCAAACCCUCUGAAAUCUUCUCUGCAUAAAAUCUUCCACGUGGCCCUCACUCCUGCUAAAGCACUUUAUUGCAGCCUAACAUGGCCGGGUCAGAUUGAAUCUCUCCGGGGAGACGUUUGCCAGCACUGCCAAAAUAAGACUGAGCAAAGAUCUCACCUCCUUCAUGCCUCCUUUUAU